GGGAAAUGAAACGCAAAUACGUGUGUUUAGGGCGCUGCUGCCAUCUGCUCCAGCCGGCGGUUUGAACACCGGUGAGGUACGUGUAGCGCUAGAGAAGGAGAGAGCACACAGCGCCACACGGAGCAGGCAUCACCUUAGAAAGAUGAGCAUACCGGACACACCUGCAAGCUCCCGCAAUGCAGGCAUGCCCACAAGGUGUGAGGGGUUGGUCAACUGCAAUGGACACAUCCACGUGUGUCCUUACAACUGUGCAGGGAGGGGGUCUGUUGAAACUGGUUUGUAAAUUGAAAUAUCAUCCUUUACAAACAAAAGUCAUUAAUACUAUUUUGCAUGCAAAGACAUAUUAUCUAUGAACUAAAUGUCAGACACUUUGGAUAAAUGCAUCUGCUAAAUGACUAAAAUGUAAAUCACAUUUCAUGUUCAAAGAGAGACGGAUUCUGACUGGAGAAAAGUUGAUAACUUGAUUUAGGCCUGGAAUGAAUUUGACUGUGGCUUAUAGUCAUUGAAGGGACUUGAAGGGAACGUUAGUUGAGAUUACCAUUCAUGGUAAAUGCGAUAAAUGAUGUCUUAAUCUGAAUUAGCUUUUUAAAGCCACAAUGCAUAUCAUUCGUUUUUUGGUCUGAUUGUAAACUCCUUUUCUCGUUUAAGUCCAUGUGAAGUCAACUUAAGACUGUAUAAUGCCCAUUCAGUUUCUAGGAAAGCAAAUUUUCUCAAAUGUUGUUGUUUUUGUCAUACCUUUUUAUCCUUUAUAUAAUUAUAUAGAGCAGUCAUCCCUUCCAUGGCUACAUUGCACAAGGAUAGGCUGGCAAUGUAGCCUUUUUCCAUAGAAACUCUACCCUGGACAUUCUGCUAUGGAUUGCUGUAUGAGUGACACGUUAUUGACUACACGUAGUAGUGCUUUGUGUAAUAGUACUUUGUGUAAUAGUGGUUUGUUUUUAUGGCACAAACAAAAACCCCAACUGUUCAGUGUACCCUGUGUGAAUACCAAAACAGUAUUCAUAUUUUUCUCUCCUCAGCAUUGACUGAUGAGUUUUAUUUUGCAGUCAGUGUGAGGACAUUAUCAGGGGUGAUCCUGAAAUAAUGGUCAACAAGACACCCUCUGAGGAGACACCAAGUUAUGUAAGAAGCAUGAUGUUGAAUUGUAUUUGGACUUCAUUCUACCUGCGACCUGUGACCUGGGUAACUGUCAGUUUGAUGCCAUUCUGGGCCAGAGACAUCAUAUCUGUAACAUUUUGACUUGAUGCAGUCUGUACAGCACCACUAGCCAGGAUAACAGGAGAACAAUAUGUAAUAAAUGGUCUUGCAUUUAUAAAAGCUUGUUUUUUUCAACUUUUGUUAAGUGGUCAGCCAGAAGUGAAAAUAAAACUAGUUUGAAU
ensembl:lncRNA